AUUACUCCUACGGGAGGCAGCAGUGGGGAAUAUUGGACAAUGGGGGCAACCCUGAUCCAGCCAUGCCGCGUGAGUGAUGAAGGCCUUAGGGUUGUAAAACUCUUUUAUCCGGGAAGAUAAUGACUGUACCGGAAGAAUGAGCCCCGGCUAACUUCGUGCCAGCAGCCGCGGUAAUAAU
rnacentral:rRNA from 1 species